AUGUCAACGGACAGGCAACAGCUGCUUUUCGAGGGCUUCUUGAAGAAAAGGAAAGAUACAAUGAAAAUGAAGUGGUCAACCUAUUGGUUCAGGCUCCAAAACACAACAUUAUUCUUCUACACUAAGAAACAUGGGAGUGCUUCACACCUAAGAGGCCUGUACUACAUCUACACUGUGCAGUCCGUGCGUGAGAUCCAGAGGGAGAAGCGUAAGCACUACGUGUUUGAAAUCCCCAUGAAGAAUGGGAAGAGGAAAGUACUGGCUGCAGAGACAGCUGAUCUGAGGAGGGAGUGGAUUGGCCAGCUGUGGAGGGCCAUGCAUCUCUCAGGCCCAGGGGGCACAGACCCAGGCUGCAUACGCUGGAGAGCAGGAUGAGGACAGUGUCCAUAGAUUUAGAAGGAAAUGUGAGGAGGAGAGAGAUGAAGAAGAGGAGGAAGAGUGUAAGGAGGAAGAGGAUCUGUAUGACAUUCUACCAGCUCCCCGGAACUGUGAGUACUACCCUCAUGGUCACAUCAGUGUGUCAUUAUAUGUCAUAAAUCA
rnacentral:lncRNA from 1 species